rnacentral:rRNA from 1 species
UACGUAGGGGGCUAGCGUUGUCCGGAUUUAUUGGGCGUAAAGAGCUCGUAGGCGGUUUGGUGAGUCGGGUGUGAAAUCUCCACGCUCAACGUGGAGGGGCCACCCGAUACUGCCAUGACUAGAGUCCGGUAGGGGAGUGUGGAAUUCCCGGUGUAGCGGUGAAAUGCGCAGAUAUCGGGAGGAACACCAGUGGCGAAGGCGGCUCACUGGCCCGAUACUGACGCUGAGGCACGAAAGCGUGGGGAGCAAACAGG